UGAAUAUGCCUUAAACGGCCCGGCUUCCGGUGGCACCUUAGAGCUCCAACUAAAUUCCACUACGAAAAUCGGGCGGCGUUCACAGUUGUAUUUCUCCAUUUCCAACUGAUUUAACUUUAAUUAGCCUUUCAGUAUGUUACGAAUUUGUCAAUGGUGCGUGUACAGUCACAGUAUUUUACAGUCAGUGUACGUAGGGUUACAUUAUAGGAAGUAGCCGGCCCUCCAUCGGAUCCCUUCACAUUCCCACGUCCCUUUUCACUUUUCAGCCAAGAAUUUAAGCAUACACUACACUCAUGGGUGUAGUUUGAUAGUUUCAAAUGUGGUAAUUUUAGUUGGGUUUUCUUUAUCCAUGGCUUCUAUGUAUGCCGGCAUUUGUAUAUGGCUGUUCUUACUAAUAUUAGAAUAAUAGUCAUUUAAGUUGGAAUCUUGUUUGCUUAUGUCCUAGACUAGUUCUAUUAGCUGUAUCUUUUAUUCAUACAACAACUUUAUAAACUAUAAGAACUACAAGGCUGGAAAAAAUAAGUGUUGUCAAAGGCGCUUCACCAGCUUAAUGUGCCCUCCAGUGUCGUCGUCAAGGCUCUAAGACAUACUUUUCCUUGUUAACCUGUGUUUCCUGAAGAAGCAACACUAAACAACUAAUAUUUCACUUUAUUGUGAUUUUUUUCCAAAUUCUUUAUCCAUAUAUUUGUUAUUCAUGCUUAUAAUAUAAUUAUUAUUCUUGAGCUAAACAUGUAGAUAUAUUUAUUUGUUUACCAUUUGCACCUUUUUCCAUUAAAGCCCUAGCUUUAUUUGCCCCAAUGGACCUUAGAGUUUUUUUGCUCGUUUUGCUUUUGAUAACAUUGGAAAAAAUCAACUCUUUAUGUGGAAAUUUUGAUUUAUCUAUCUAAAAUAAAAACAAAAGGAGGGGGAGGGGGGCGAAUGACUAUCUUCUCGUGGUGCUGAUCAAAUAAAUAAGAAAAGAGAAACAACUGAUAUUUGUUAUUUUCACGGGUUGAUCGUAGAACUUUCAUUUAUGAAGCAGCUAUCUUGGCUAUUGGUAAGGUGUAUACUUAAUUGAAAGCUUGCUAGCAUGUCUGGUAAAGAUCCAAAAGGUAA